rnacentral:lncRNA from 1 species
CCUGAAAAAGCCCUUCCUAUUGGUAUUAGCUUUGUUAAAGAAUACAUCAGUAGCUCAGACUGGACUUUGGAUACCAUAUACCCUGUUCUUGACCUACUGAGCUAUAUUCGUACUGAAAAAUUACUCUUGCAUACAUGUACUGACCUAAAUGGAAAAAAUGAUGCAGCAGCCUGGGAGACUGGCUAACUCCCUCAGCAAGAAUGCAGAAGACGUUCUUUACUGUGAGUCUACACGGUAUUCCAGGACUCCCUCCACCUGACCAAAGGAGCUAUUUAGGGAUAAAUUACAUGAAGAAACAGCCAGGAAAUACAGAACAGCAAAGCUCGAAAUGAGUUGCUGAUAUUAUGUGGUUACAUUGGUGCAUUACU